UACGAAGGGGGGCUAGCGUUGUUCGGAUUUACUGGGCGUAAAGCGCACGUAGGCGGAUCGUUAAGUCGGGGGUGAAAUCCUGGAGCUCAACUCCAGAACUGCCUUCGAUACUGGCGAUCUUGAGUCCGGAAGAGGUGAGUGGAACUCCUAGUGUAGAGGUGGAAUUCGUAGAUAUUAGGAAGAACACCAGUGGCGAAGGCGGCUCACUGGCCCGGUACUGACGCUGAGGUGCGAAAGCGUGGGGAGCAAACAGG
rnacentral:rRNA from 1 species